GCGUGCAAGCAGGGUGGGGAUCUCUCAGCUGUGAAGGGAGGCUUCACACUGCCUAUCAGAGCUUGUGUGCAAGCCGGAGGGGGCAGGGACCUCUCGGUUAAGCAACGGGAAGCCUCCCUUCCCAGCUGAGGGAUCCCCACCCCCUCCUGCUUACAUGC